rnacentral:rRNA from 1 species
UAGGGAAUCUUCCACAAUGGACGCAAGUCUGAUGGAGCAACGCCGCGUGAGUGAAGAAGGUUUUCGGACCGUAAAGCUCUGUUGUUGGUGAAGAAGGAUAGAGGUAGUAACUGGCCUUUAUUUGACGGUAAUCAACCAGAAAGUCACGGCUAACUACGUGCCAGCAGCCGCGGUAAUACGUAGGUGGCAAGCGUUGUCCGGAUUUAUUGGGCGU